GCCGGAAGACCAAGGGUUCCUGUCCAACGUUAAUCGGGGCAGGGUGAGUCGACCCCUAAGGCGAGGCCGAAAGGCGUAGUCGAUGGGAAACGGGUUAAUAUUCCCGUACUUGGUGUUACUGCGAAGGGGGGACGGAGAAGGCUAUGUUGGCCGGGCGACGGUUGUCCCGGUUUAAGCGUGUAGGUGUGUGUUCCAGGUAAAUCCGGUUCACUUUAACACUGAGGCGUGACGACGAGGCACUACGGUGCUGAAGCAACAAAUGCCCUGCUUCCAGGAAAAGCCUCUAAGCAUCAGGUAACAUCAAAUCGUACCCCAAACCGACACAGGUGGUCAGGUAGAGAAUACCAAGGCGCUUGAGAGAACUCGGGUGAAGGAACUAGGCAAAAUGGUGCCGUAACUUCGGGAGAAGGCACGCUGACAUGUAGGUGAAGUGAUUUACUCAUGGAGCUGAAGUCAGUCGAAGAUACCAGCUGGCUGCAACUGUUUAUUAAAAACACAGCACUGUGCAAACACGAAAGUGGACGUAUACGGUGUGACGCCUGCCCGGUGCCGGAAGGUUAAUUGAUGGGGUCAGCGCAAGCGAAGCUCCUGAUCGAAGCCCCGGUAAACGGCGGCCGUAACUAUAACGGUCCUAAGGUAGCGAAAUUCCUUGUCGGGUAAGUUCCGACCUGCACGAAUGGCGUAAUGAUGGCCAGGCUGUCUCCACCCGAGACUCAGUGAAAUUGAACUCGCUGUGAAGAUGCAGUGUACCCGCGGCAAGACGGAAAGACCCCGUGAACCUUUACUAUAGCUUGACACUGAACAUUGAGCCUUGAUGUGUAGGAUAGGUGGGAGGCUUUGAAGUGUGGACGCCAGUCUGCAUGGAGCCGACCUUGAAAUACCACCCUUUAAUGUUUGAUGUUCUAACGUGGACCCGUGAUCCGGGUUGCGGACAGUGUCUGGUGGGUAGUUUGACUGGGGCGGUCUCCUCCUAAAGAGUAACGGAGGAGCACGAAGGUUGGCUAAUCCUGGUCGGACAUCAGGAGGUUAGUGCAAUGGCAUAAGCCAGCUUGACUGCGAGCGUGACGGCGCGAGCAGGUGCGAAAGCAGGUCAUAGUGAUCCGGUGGUUCUGAAUGGAAGGGCCAUCGCUCAACGGAUAAAAGGUACUCCGGGGAUAACAGGCUGAUACCGCCCAAGAGUUCAUAUCGACGGCGGUGUUUGGCACCUCGAUGUCGGCUCAUCACAUCCUGGGGCUGAAGUAGGUCCCAAGGGUAUGGCUGUUCGCCAUUUAAAGUGGUACGCGAGCUGGGUUUAGAACGUCGUGAGACAGUUCGGUCCCUAUCUGCCGUGGGCGCUGGAGAACUGAGGGGGGCUGCUCCUAGUACGAGAGGACCGGAGUGGACGCAUCACUGGUGUUCGGGUUGUCAUGCCAAUGGCACUGCCCGGUAGCUAAAUGCGGAAGAGAUAAGUGCUGAAAGCAUCUAAGCACGAAACUUGCCCCGA
rnacentral:rRNA from 1 species